AUGCAACGCGAAGAACCUUACCUGGUCUUGACAUCCCGGAGACCCUUAGGAAACUAGGGGUGCUUCCAUCUGGAAGAAUCUGGAGGACAGGUGCUGCAUGGCUGUCGUCAGCUCGUGUCGUGAGAUGUUGGGUUAAGUCCCGCAACGAGCGCAACCCUUGCCUUUAGUUGCCAGCAGUUCGGCUGGGCACUCUAAAGGGACUGCCGGUGUUAAACCGGAGGAAGGUGGGGAUGACGUCAAGUCCUCAUGGCCUUUAUGACCAGGGCUACACACGUACUACAAUGGCCGAUACAAAGGGCAGCGACACUGCGAGGUGAAGCCAAUCCCGUAAAAUCGGUCUCAGUCCGGAUUGGAGUCUGCAACUCGACUCCAUGAAGUUGGAAUCGCUAGUAAUCGUGGAUCAGAAUGUCACGGUGAAUACGUUCCCGGGCCUU
rnacentral:rRNA from 1 species